CACGUAGGGCGCAAGCGUUGUCCGGAAUUAUUGGGCGUAAAGAGCUCGUAGGCGGACUGUCACGUCUGCUGUGAAAAGCUAGGGCUUAACCCUGGCCUUGCAGUGGAUACGGGCAGACUAGAGGUAGGUAGGGGAGAAUGGAAUUCCCGGUGUAGCGGUGAAAUGCGCAGAUAUCGGGAGGAACACCGGUGGCGAAGGCGGUUCUCUGGGAAUAUCCUGACGCUGAGGAGCGAAAGUGUGGGGAGCGAACAGG
rnacentral:rRNA from 1 species